rnacentral:rRNA from 1 species
GCGCACCAGUCGAGAAACCUUCGCAAUGCGGGAAACCGCGACGAGGGGACUCCCAGUGCCUACGCUCAGCGUAGGCUGUUCCCGAGCCUAGAAAGCUCGGGGAGUAAGGGCUGGGUAAGACGGGUGCCAGCCGCCGCGGUAAUACCCGCAGCCCGAGUGGUGGCCACUAUUAUUGGGCCUAAAGCGUCCGUAGCCGGCCCGGUAAAUGCCUGGGUAAAUCGUGAGGCCUAACCUCACGAAUUCCGGGUAGACUGCCGGGCUAGGGACCGGAGGAGGGAGAGGGUACUCCAGGGGUAGGGGUGAAAUCCUGUAAUCCCUGGAGGACCACCGGUGGCGAAGGCGCUCUCCUAGGACGGGUCCGACGGUGAGGGACGAAAGCCAGGGGAGCGAACCGGAUUAGAUACCCGGGUAGU